rnacentral:tRNA from 1 species
GCUGAAUUAGUUUAUAUAAAAAUAUUGGCUUGUCGAGCGAAAGAGGACUUAAUGUUAUUUAGCU